rnacentral:rRNA from 1 species
AUUGAACGCUGGCGGCAUGCUUUACACAUGCAAGUCGAACGGCAGCGCGGGCUUCGGCCUGGCGGCGAGUGGCGAACGGGUGAGUAAUGCAUCGGAACGUGCCCAGUAGUGGGGGAUAGCCCGGCGAAAGCCGGAUUAAUACCGAAUACGACCAGAGGGUGAAAGCGGGGGACCGAAAGGCCUAGCGCGUUUGGAGCGGCCGAAGUCGGAUUAGCUAGUUGGUGGGGUAAAGGCUUACCAAGGCGACGAUCCGUAGCUGGUCUGAGAGGACGACCAGCCACACUGGGACUGAGACACGGCCCAGACUCCUACGGGAGGCAGCAGUGGGGAAUUUUGGACAAAGGGGGCAACCCUGAUCCAGCCAUGCCGCGUGCGGGAAGAAGGCCUUCGGGUUGUAAACCGCUUUUGUUCGGGAAGAAAUCCUCUGGGCCAAUCCCCCGGGGGGAUGACGGUACCGGAAGAAUAAGCACCGGCUAACUACGUG